CAUGAUUCAGACCUACCCCUCUUCUUGCAACCGGACUCCUUCUGGGCGUCACAAUCUCCAAGUGGUCCAUCAAUUUCCACACCGACAAUAGAUGAACUGUUUGGAUUUUGCAAAGACCAAUUGAAGCCGGUAGCUGGGACAGAGAAAUUCGCAUCAGGAACAGGGAUAUCGUCCAUCAAGCCACAAUCAAUCAGCCAAUUAGUGUUUUCUAGGGAUGCCAUUUUUCAAUGAUCGUGGAUUCUGAAUUUCGCCGGAAAAUUGCCGUCGGUUUUCCGGCUCAGGGAAUUUAACGGGAAAGGGUGGUCGGGCGGAGGAAGUGUUUGGGGUGAGAGAAAACAAAGAAACUGGAUGAUUUUGCCGUUCAAUUUUCAGGGUAAAGAAGAGUUGACAUUUGGAAAAG
rnacentral:misc_RNA from 1 species